rnacentral:rRNA from 1 species
UACGUAGGGGGCAAGCGUUGUCCGGAAUCAUUGGGCGUAAAGAGCGCGUAGGCGGCCCAGUAAGUCCGCUCUGAAAGUCAGAGGCUCAACCUCUGAAUGCGGGUGGAUACUGCUGGGCUAGAGUCCGGAAGAGGCGAGUGGAAUUCCUGGUGUAGCGGUGAAAUGCGCAGAUAUCAGGAGGAACACCGAUGGCGAAGGCAGCUCGCUGGAACGGUACUGACACUCAACAACGAAAGCGUGGGGAGCAAAACAGG